rnacentral:lncRNA from 1 species
UUUAUUUUACAAAUUAAGGUGGGAAGUAGGUUUACUGGGAAUUACCUGAGUGCUGACUCAUUCCUUGUUCACAGCCCCUCAUAGGAGAACGGAAUUAACAUCAAAUAUAAUUAGCCCCAGAGCUAUCCACGACAGGGUUUCGAUAUGUAGACAUGGCUGGUCUGGAAGUCUCUAUGCAGACCAGGCCUGAACUCACAGAAAUCCUGCCUCUGCCUCCUGAGUGCUGGGAUUACAUUCCCGUGUCACUACCCCUGGCUUGUUCUUUAUAUUUUAGAAUAAGGAUACCCUUGACAACCUGAUCCUAGGUGCUAGGAUUAAAGACCAUAGACCUCUGGAAACUACCUUUUUUUUUCCCUCCACCAUGCCAGGUUCAGGGUUUUGAAGCCUCUCCAUCUAAAAACCAAGGUUGAGACUCGUUUAUGGGUCAUUUUGUCAUCAUAAAACAUUGAAAGGGCUUGUACUGUUCUCAGUGAUAAAAGUCAAGAAUGGAAAUCCCCAUGGCAGCCUUCUGGGCAGGAAUGUUUCCUUUCCCCUGGCAGAGGGUAGGAAGGUUGUUACCGCUCCUCUUCCUUCUCCCUUCUCUUCAUCCUCAGGGUGUCUCCUAAGGUUCGUAUCGUAGGGGCUCUGCACUCUGUGUUCUUGUUGCUUGGUAUAUAUAUACAUACACACACACACACACACACACACACAUAUAUAUAUAUAUAUAUACAUAUAUAUAUAUAUAUAUACAUAUACAUAUAUAUAUACAUACACACACAUAUUUAUAUAUACACACAUAUAUAUAUAUUCAAGUCUAGAAAUAGUUGUUCGAGCAAAAGGUAACAAGUUCUGCCUCCAUCCGUUGAUUUGUUUAACUUUCUAGAGUUGCAUCCCUUCCUAACCAGCUUCUAUGUAGCGGAGUGACUGUUUCACAGUUUACUUUAUUUCCUUCCACAUUAUUUCCAGUGAGGUAUUGGCUUAUUACCUAUUCAUCCAGUGGCUAAGGCUAAAAACAGCUGUGUUCUCGACCAGCCCUGGGCCCUAGCCCUAUAAUCUGAAUCAGAAUAUUCUGUAAAAAACGCGAAUUGUGUCCUUUACUCACAAAAAAAGUAAAUACUACAUAUGUAUAUGCAUACAUAUGAAUGUUUUAUAAUUGAAACAAUCGAUUCCAUUGCAUCCUUUCUUCAGAUACUCCACAAGCAGAUUAUUCUCCCUUCUUAAGUGAGAUUAAUAUUUCAUUAUUCCGGAACGCUCCAGAAAUAGCUUGUUGUUUUUGCAGACAGCAUCAUGAAUUUUGGGUGCUCUGUAACCUGAUCAAGUUGGAGAGCUGCUGAUGCAACUAAAUAUAAUCUCUUGAUGAUGUUCCUCCUUGCUCCGCACUUUGCUGCUCCUCUGCCUGCCUUCCCCACUCUCUGGGCCCUAAACUUCAUCUGUCUGUACAGGUUCCAACCCCGAAAACAUUUUAACAGCUGCUCAUUCCCCUGGGUAGUUUUCCCCCUUGUUUUCCUUCGGGUUAUGUUGUAGCCACUCAUUGCUCAUGAGCUCCUUAAGAGCACGCCCAGAUAGCACCUUGGCUGUGUGCGAUCUUUCACGGGAGAACUGCCUCACAUUCUAGAGCACGUGAGCCUUCCAUAUUUGUUGGAGAAAAUUAAAUGGUAAAAAAUACAUAAUGCAGAGUUGUAAUUUUUUUUUCUGCUGAAUUCUCUUGGCAUUUGAGUGUCUGUUAGUUGGUUAUGUAAAAAAGUGUGUCUGUGCUUGCCUGUGUGUAUUUGUGUGUGUGAACAUGAACAUGCUGCUGUGUGUGACGAGAUCAGAGAACCACCUGGGUUAUCAAUUUUUGUCUUCAGUAUUGUUCAAGAUCGGGUCUGUUGUUCAUUUAGUAUUGCUUCCCGGGAUUCUUCUGUCUGUGCCUUCUAUCUUCUUGCAGAAAGAUUGGCAUUUAUAUGAGUUCUAAUGUGUCUGGCCUUUCUGUGGGUUCUGUGAAUUCAAACCCAGGUCAUCAGACUUUAAUAGGAAGUUCUUAUAUCUACAGAACCAUUUCUCUAGCCCACAUAUCAGUGGUUUAAAAAACUAAUAGUGUGAUAUGCAUUAAAGAGGAACCUGGGGUUGUUAUUCAUGUGUCAGAGGUGGAAAAAAAAGGUAUUCAGAUUGUAGCUGAAGUCCUUGUACUGUACACAGUUAAGUGACUGGGCAGGGGUGUUAUGGCUUACUGUCAGAAAUACACUGUGGAGUUCAGUGGGCCCACAGCAUCACUUUGAUCACCUUCAGAAAACAAGUAGUUGAGAUGAGAGAUCAUUUGCAACAG